rnacentral:rRNA from 1 species
GCCUACGGGAGGCAGCAGUGGGGAAUUUUGGACAAUGGGCGAAAGCCUGAUCCAGCCAUGCCGCGUGCGGGAAGAAGGCCUUCGGGUUGUAAACCGCUUUUGUCAGGGAAGAAAUCUUUCGGGCUAAUACCUUGAGAGGAUGACGGUACCUGAAGAAUAAGCACCGGCUAACUACGUGCCAGCAGCCGCGGUAA